UUGUCCCGAGAACUAGAGUAAUGAUUGAUAGGGACGGUUGGGGGCAUCCGUAUUCUCAAGCGAGAGGUGAAAUUCUUGGACCUUGGGAAGACGAACAGCUGCGAAAGCGUUUGCCUAGGACGUUCUCUUUAAUCAAGAACGAAAGUUGGGGGAUCGAAGACGAUCAGAUACCGUCGUAGUCUCAACUAUAAACUAUGCCAGCUAGGGAUCGGUGGUACUUCGUCACGAGUCCAUCGGCACCUUACGAGAAAUCAAAGCAUUUGGGUUCCGGGGGGAGUAUGGUCGCAAGGCUGAAACUUAAAGGAAUUGACGGAAGGGCACCACCAGGAGUGGAGCCUGUGGCUUAAUUUGACUCAACACUGGAAAACUUACCAGGUCCAGACAUAGUAAGGAUUGACAGAUUGAUAGCUCUUUCU
rnacentral:rRNA from 1 species